rnacentral:rRNA from 1 species
UGGGGAAUCUUGGACAAUGGGGGCAACCCUGAUCCAGCCAUGCCGCGUGGAGGACGAAGGCCUUAGGGUCGUAAACUCCUGUCAGUAGGGACGAAAAAGUAGGGUCGAACAGGCCCUGCCAUUGACGGUACCUGCAGAGGAAGCCCCGGCUAACUCCGUGCCAGCAGCCGCGGUAAUACGGAGGGGGUUAGCGUUGUUCGGAAUUACUGGGCGUAAAGCGCACGUAGGCGGACCAGAAAGUUGGGGUGAAAUCCCGGGGCUCAACCCGGAACUGCCUCCAAAACUAUUGGGUCUAGAGUUCGAGAGAGGUGAGUGGAAUUCCAAGUGUAGAGGUGAAAAUUCGUAGAUAUUUGGAGGAACACCAGUGGCGAAGGCGGCUCACUGGCUCGAUACUGACGCUGAGGUGCGAAAGUAGUGGGGAGCAAACAGGAUUAGAUACCCUGGUAGUCCACACGUAAAACGAUGAAUGCCAGUCGUCGGGUAGCAUG